rnacentral:misc_RNA from 1 species
GAAAAUGCGAUAUGCAAUGUGAAUUGCAGAACCACGAAUCAUUUGAUCUUUGAACGCAAAUGGCGCUGGCAUUACCAGCAUACUUGUUUCAGUGUGCCCAAACAAAUAAACAAUAAAAAUGUAAGAGAAAAUUCUCUUAUUAAAUACAUGCUCCAAGUAGCAGUCGCAUUUUUAUGUGAUCUACAUGGAUGAAAUUUGACUUAUCCGCACCUGAAAUCAAGUAAGAACACCCGCUGGACUUAA